AAAAUAAGUUUAGCGUAAUGGAGAGGAUGGAGGAAAAUCUGAAUGAGAAGCGGCGUUUUUGUUGAGUUGAGGUGUGUUAUCUUGGGGGCAUCAGUGAAAAUGGCGCCUCUUGGAAAAGUACAAGCUGGUGUUCUUGGGAGAUCAGUAAUGACAAAUUUGACAACACUUAUCAGAGCAAUGCAAGGGGAGCUUGUGGGGUGAAACAGGACAGAAAGGUGAGCGAAUUCAGAGUUUGAAGGAGAAUAAUUUCAAUUAUGGUAUCUAAGUGGAUGGAAAAUGUGACCUUUUUGUCAAUGAACAAAGCUGAAGUUGUAGAUAGAGGCCCAUGAAUGGCUGGCUUUUAAUCUCUAACAUGCCCAAUUCAACUUUGUUUAGAUCAAUGGGGUGGAAAAAGAUGAAGCUCUUGAGCAGUUCUGAACCAUGUCAAAGAACUCUCCUAAAAGCUCAAGUUGUUUCCUGACUUGGUGGACUUGGAAAAUGCUUCAUUCUCCUAAGUCCUAAUCAGUGUUCUAAGAAUGUUGCAUAGAUUUUAAAAAUAAAAUUUGUUGUCUCGUUAAUUUUUAACUAAUUCUCUUUGCAGAUGUUAAUUCUGAUCUCAAGGUAUUGAUACUCAUUUCGUUUCUCUUGGUUUCCAUACUGAGAUGCAUUGAAGCAAUGACGACAUUUCUCUCUGGUCUACCUUCUGAGUUAUAUUAUUAAUAAUAUGACGAGUCUAGUGGCUCAGUAUCAACAAAUGAAUGCUACAUGAAAAAAAAA